AAAAAAAAUCAAAUUAACCCUUUCUCGUAUUCCAGAAAUCUCGUCGCCGCUUACCCUUCUUCAUCUUCACCGCUUAAACCCAUAAAUCUUCUCUUCACCGUCAAACUUCACCUUCAUCAAACUCGAACCAUUCAUCUUCAUCUUCAUCUUCAUCUUCUUCACUGCUCAAACCCUCCUAUUGUAUGAUUCUUUGUGCUUUAUGACAGAUUUAACUCCAAUAGGAGAAAUAUGUUAUCAUUUUAACUUUUAUUUCUCACUUUUUAAGCUUACAUUUCAAACUUCAGAGAAACUAAGGUUUCUGAACAAUCCUUACUCACAAGUAUUUUCUCUCUCUGCUGAAGAGCAAUUGAAGAGCACUAAUAAACUAUAGGCAGUUUAGAAUUCAAGGAUUAGAGACAACCACGUUAAGGUAUCUCUUUUAUUUUUAUUUUUAUAUUAGCUAUGUAUGAUAAACAGCUUAAUUGAUAUGUUAUUUACUUCUACUUGUACAAUUGUAUACAAAUUAGCUAUGUAUGAUUUUAUAAUAUGAUUAUAUGAUACCUUUGCUUCUAGAGUUUUGUGGUUUUUUUAUAUGGAUAAUGCUACCUUGUCUCUACUAAAUUGGGGCUGGUCGUCCUUUUAUAAUGUGAGAUAUUUAGUUUUGUAUACUGUGUUUCAAUUAUAUGGACAUGUACUUAAGUAAGCACUAGGACUGUGUUUGUAUUCUCUCUUUUUUUUUUUUUUAAUGCNNNNNNNNNNNNNNNNNNNNNNNNNNNNNNNUUUUUUUUUUAAUGCGUGUUUGUAGUCUCUUUGUAAAUGAAGGUUUUGUAAUUAUAGAUUUAUAGUUAUUACUUUAUUAAUUAGCAUAUAAAUGGUGGUUGAUUGUUUGGGUUUUUAUUCUGACUAUAACUAGGAUUGGCUAUUAUGUUUUAAGGUUGCAGCUUACUAUACUAC
rnacentral:lncRNA from 1 species